rnacentral:rRNA from 1 species
GAUGAACGCUGGCGGCGUGCUUAACACAUGCAAGUCGAACGAUGAAGCUCCAGCUUGCUGGGGUGGAUUAGUGGCGAACGGGUGAGUAACACGUGAGUAACCUGCCCUUGACUCUGGGAUAAGCCUUGGAAACGGGGUCUAAUACCGGAUAGGAGCAUUCACCGCAUGGUGGGUGUUGGAAAGAAUUUCGGUCUUGGAUGGACUCGCGGCCCAUCAGCUUGUUGGUGAGGUAAUGGCUCACCAAGGCGACGACGGGUAGCCGGCCUGAGAGGGUGACCGGCCACACGGGGACUGAGACACGGCCCAGACUCCUACGGGAGGCAGCAGUGGGGAAUAUUGCACAAUGGGCGCAAGCCUGAUGCAGCGACGCCGCGUGAGGGAUGACGGCCUUCGGGUUGUAAACCUCUUUCAGUAGGGAAGAAGCGAAAGUGACGGUACCUGCAGAAGAAGCACCGGCUAACUACGUGCCAGCAGCCGCCGUAACAC